rnacentral:lncRNA from 1 species
AGUAGAGACGGCAUUUCACCAUGUUAGCCAGGAUGGUCUCGAUCUCCUGACUUCAUGAUCCGCCCACCUCGGCCUCCCAAAGUGCUGGGAUUACAGGGGCGAGCCACUGCGCCCAGCCUGAUCAUUUGUUUCUAACAAUCUGGGGGCUCGUCCGGAAUUCCCAUUCUCCUCUGAGAAAAGGGUCUCCAGUCACCAAUAGUGAGGAGAAGCAUCCCACUGCCUCAUUGAGGUGGCCUCAUGGUGAGGGAUCAGGACCCACCCAGUGUGAUGAAUAAACCCGGACUCUCAGCAGUCUGGAAAGGAACAGACCAACAACUUAAGAGAAAAGGAUCCUCACAUACCAUGGUGACCAGGACUAAAGGCCUCUUGGCACAUACACCACCCCUUGAAUUUCCAGUUCACCACCACCAGCCCGGACAGUGACCACAUUCUCAUCAAAGGUCAGAAAGAAAGGAAGCUCAAGCCCACCUGGGAGGGACAUUAUCUAGUGUUUCUAAUGACUGAGACAGCCGUCCACACCACUGAAAAAGAAUGGACUCACCAUACCUGAGUCAAAAGAGCACCACCCACUCCAGAAUCAUGGACAGCUAUUUCAGGGCCAAUUCCAACCAAGUUAAAGCUAAAACGGGUUUGAUCCUC